UGAAAUACCACCUUCAAUCACCAGAACCUCUCAACCUCCACCUGUUCUAAAAAUUGCUCGUAAUUUCACAACAACCUCUGACCCUAAUCAACUAUAUCACCACAGCUCUUCCUCAUCCUCUGAAUAUGAAUCACCCCCUUACCUUUCCCCUUCUUCUGACCAAGAGUUCUCUGAUCAUGAGUCCUCUGAUCAAGAACACUCUGACCCAAACUCCCCAACAAUAGCUGAAAUCUAUGCUAAAAAUUUCGCCCCACAAACUCAAACACAAACUGAAGUAACCUCUCCCCUCCGAACUUCUAUUCCACAACAAACAACCACCAUUACCUCUGAAAAUCAAACUUCCCUUC
rnacentral:lncRNA from 1 species